GGCUAUCCCCACAGUUCACAGGGUCCCAUAAUAAUAAAACAACCAAGAAAAUCCACCUGUCUUUAUCCCUUCAUUAUUUGAAGUCUCUUAGUUUAGCUUUGGAGAGAAAAACAAAACUGGUGAGGCCAUUGAUCUUCAGGCUUUUAAACAGAUAAAGCUGUGCUGAAACAGAGUCGCCACAAUCAUUUUUUGCCGUCUCAAAAGCAGUUUUCACGCAAUCCCCACAGUUGGCUGUACCCAUAUCACCCUGGCACUGAGCUAGCACAUAAACAGAUUGAUAAUCCCCAGUGUAAAACAAGCUGCUACCACUUUUCACCCCUUCUUCCGCCAUGUUGAAAGCCGUCUCUCUUCUCUUCUCAAACUCCGUUCUUCCACUUGAUGACGACCCACAUACCUUGUACAAAAACUCUGUUUCUGGAACCUGUUUGAACCCAGAUAUCUCGUACCUUAAGUAACAUCCACUCAGCUGGACCCUGGCUGCUACUGCUUUCCCACAAACUUUAUCACUUAUUUUCGGGAUCUUGCUCACACAGCUGUAACACUGGCUUGUCGAUAGGUCCCCUCUGCAUUGAUAAAGUCCAUUGAUUGCAUUAGGGUCUUCACCAGAGGCUGCGGUGGAGAAAGUUCUCUGUGAUGAUUGUGAAACCAAAUCUUGCAUUAGAUUUUUGAGGUUCUGUAAGUAAAGCCCAGAUGGGUCUUGAAAUUUCUGGUCAGCGCAGCCCUUAAACACCAAGUUAGUAUAAUCUGCAGCUGUAGCAACAAAAGGAAAGGACCCCAAAAAGAUUGUGAUUGAAACCAAAGAUACAGAGAGCAAAGAAGGGGAUUUUCUAGGCAAACCCAUUGGAGAAAUGGAUUGUUUUAUUUUCUUCUCUGUCACAACAUGGAAGUGAUGGUUGUAAAAAGAGGGCUUGUAUGGGAGCUUCGAGAUUUGGGUUUUAGCUGGAAACAAGAGCGCUGUUGCUAUAUAUGGCCUUCAGUCCGAACGCUUACCUUUAUUUCUUUGGGAAGUUGCUUUAUUUCUUUGUAAUCUUCCUUUGCUUUCUUCAAAUCCUUAAGUGCUUAACUUUAAAGAUAGAAGAUGGAUUAAUAAUUGUUUGACGGAGACAUUUGAAAUUGAAUUUUUCCUCUUAAUUUCAUAAAUACAUUAUUAUUUCAUAAUACAA